GACGAACGCUGGCGGCGUGCUUAACACAUGCAAGUCGAACGGGCCUGUCUUCUUCUUUGGGGGGUGGGUUGAGUGGCGAACGGGUGAGUAUCACGUGAGUAACCUGCCCUUCGGUCCUGGAUAACCGCUUGAAAGGGCGGCUAAUACGGGGUGGUCCGGUUGGUCCGCAUGGGCUGGUCGGGAUAGAUUCACUGUUUUUGGUGUUUCGGCGGGGGAUGGGCUCGCGGCCUAUCAGCUUGUUGGUGGGGUGAUGGCCUACCAAGGCGGUGACGGGUAGCCGGCCUGAGAGGGUGGGCGGCCACACUGGGACUGAGAUACGGCCCAGACUCCUGCGGGAGGCAGCAGUGGGGGGUAUUGCACAAUGGGCGGAAGCCUGAUGCAGCGACGUCGCGUGAGGGAUGGAGGCCUUCGGGUUGUGAACCUCUGUUUCCGGUGGUGAAGGCCCUGUCCGUGUGGUGGGGUUGACGGUAGCCGGGGAUGAAGCGCCGGCUAACUACGUG
rnacentral:rRNA from 1 species